GGGCAACAUGGGGAAACGCCGUCUAUACUAAAAAUACAAAAAUUAGCUGGGCGUGGUGGCGCACGCCUUUAACCCCAGCUACUUGGUGAGGCUGAGGCAGGAGAAUCGCUUGAUCCGGGGAGACGGAGGUUGCAGUGAGCCGAGAUUGUGUCACUGCACUCCAGCCUGGGUGACAGAGUGACACUCCAUCUCAAAAAAAAAAAUUUUGAAACGGCCGCACCCUCGCCGGCCCUGCGUCGUCCCCGAAAACCAGACGCCCUGGGGCGCGGGGCCAAGUGCGGCGACCUCCUGCCCUCCCUCUGCGGCUCCCUGGAAACCGGCCUGGACAACGGCACCUGGGCAUCCAUGCAACGGGACCACCGCCCGCUUAAAUUCCUGUUGUGGAACAAGGCUGGACGGUGAUGGGAAUGCUCAGGAUAUGUUAGGUUUUCUUUUUUUUUUGAGACGGAGUCUCGCUCUGUCGCCCAGGCUGGAGUGCAGUGGUGCGAUCUCGGCUCACUGCAAGCUCCGCCUCCCGGGUUCACGCCAUUCUCCUGUCUCAGCCUCCCGAGUAGCUGGGACUACAGGCGCCCGCCACUGCGCCCGUCUUAUUUUUUUGUAUUUUUAGUAGAGACGGGGUUUCACCGUGUUAGCCGGGAUCCAUCUCCUGACUUCGUGAUCCGCCCGCUUCGGCCUCCCAAAGUGCUGAGAUUACAGACGUGAGCCACCGCGCCCUGCCUAUAUUAGGUUUUUAAAUAGCAGGAGGCAAAGCUUUUCGGUGUGAUCCUGACUUCACUUGGGGAAAAAGGGCAGACACAGGGUCUCACUGUGUUGGCCAGGCUGGAGUGCGGCAGUCUGGAACUCCUGGGCCCAAGUGAUCCUCCAAUCAGCCUCACAAAGCACUGGAAUUACAGAUGGAGUUUUGCUCUUGUUGCCCAGGCUGGAGUACAAUGGCGCAAUCUCGGCUCACUGCAACCUCCGCCUCCGGGUUCAAGUGAUUCUCCUGCCUCAGCCUCCUGAGUAGCUGGGAUUACAGGAGCCUACUACCACGGCCAGCUAAUUUUUUUGUAUUUUUAGUAGAGACGGGGCUUUACCAUGUUGGCCAGGCUGGUUUCAAACUCCUGACCUCAGGUGAUCCACCCGCCUCGGCCUCCCAAACUGCUGGGAUUAUAGGCAUGAGCCACCGUGCCCGGCCCAUAGAUUACUUUUAUAAUCAAGUUUUUCUUUACUUUUUAAAGAGUAAAUUCUCUCACCUCAGGUAGCUCAGAGAGCUGCGCUGGAGGAGAAAAGCCAGUCCUGGCAGGAGCUCUGGUACCUGGGAAGCUGGAUGGAGAGCCUGGGCCAGAAUCCCGGACCCCUCACCUCUGCGGCCUAGCUUUGUGACCUUGGCAAAUCCAUUCUAUGCACCUCCAUUUCCUGUACAGUGGGGAUCCUUAUUUCUCUGGCACAGAUUGGUAUUUGUUCUGUAAAGCCCAGUACCACUU
rnacentral:lncRNA from 1 species